AACCCUAGCCACCUCACUCUAAAAAACACCACCCCUUUUGUGAGAAGAAGUAUUUUUCUCUUAAAGAAAAAUUAUGUAGAAAAUAGUUCCUAUAGUUGAGUGCUCUUCCUAGCCUAGAAGUUUCUCAAUGACGGUACUCCUGUCUGCGUGUGGAUACCGGGAGUGCAAUCUACUUUGAAGUGUUUUGUGAAUCCAUCAUCAAAUUGAAGGAGCCUUUAACGCUGUUUGAGCAAUUUCGUUCACUCUCAGAGUUCUCACCUCUCUCUUAGCUCUCUCUACAAGUAAAUUAGAACUACAAGCAAAGGUAUUUUCAAAAUGGUUGGUGGCAGAUUGUAGAGAGAGGGGGAAGAAGAAAGAAGAAUAAGAAGAAGAAGAUUGGGUUGUGAGAGGGUUUUUUGGAGAUUGUGGAGAGGGAUGGUGGCAACGGCGAGGAAGAAGAAGAAGAAGAUUGGGUUGUGAGAGGGAAAGCAAAGUGUUUGUGGAGAUUGUGAAGAGAGGGGUUAUUGGGCUUAGAGUUGGGCUCAACAUAACUAAUACAUAACCUCAAUCUACUAUAAAGUCAACUGUAGCCCUUCAAUUGUCGAUGCAUUGACGAUAUUGUUGGCUUUUCAUCAUAAAAUUGUGUUGUUGCCGAGGAAAUUAUAUAGCUUGGUUGAAAAUGCAGCAGCUUUUGGCAAUUUUUGUUUGUUGGAAGCAGGACUUGGUGAUAGAGAUAUGCUCAUGCAAGCUGUCUUUGAUGGUAGUUUUGGUUUUGGCAAUUUUUAUUUUUAAUGGGCCAAUUAAAACUUAUUACAAUGUUGUAAUCAGAAG